rnacentral:rRNA from 2 species
UUAGUUAAGUGAAGAAGGGCGCACGGUGGAUGCCUUGGCACUAGGAGCCGAUGAAGGACGGGACUAACACCGAUAUGCUUCGGGGAGCUGUAAGUAAGCUUUGAUCCGAAGAUUUCCGAAUGGGGGAACCCGCUAUCCGUUAUUGGAUAGUACGUAUCACUGAAUACAUAGGUGAUACGAGGCAGACCCGGGGAACUGAAACAUCUCAUUACCCGGAGGAAGAGAAAGCAAAUGCGAUUUCCUGAGUAGCGGCGAGCGAAACGGAAUUAGCCCAAACCAGAAGGCUUGCCUUCUGGGGUUGUAGGACACUCCUUUGGAGUUACAAAGAAACCAUAUAGACGAAGCGGCUUGGAAUGGCCCGCCAUAGAAGGUAAGAGCCCUGUACUUGAAAUGUGGUUUCCUCCGGAGUGUAUCCUGAGUACGGCGGAACACGUGAAAUUCCGUCGGAAUCCGGGAGGACCAUCUCCCAAGGCUAAAUACUCCCUAGUGACCGAUAGUGAACCAGUACCGUGAGGGAAAGGUGAAAAGCACCCCGGAAGGGGAGUGAAAUAGAUCCUGAAACCGUGUGCCUACAAGUAGUCGAAGCCCGUUAAUGGGUGACGGCGUACCUUUUGUAGAAUGGACCGGCGAGUUACGAUCCCCUGCAAGGUUAAGUUGUAUAGACGGAGCCGCAGCGAAAGCGAGUCUGAAUAGGGCGAUAUAGUAGGUGGUCGUAGACCCGAAACCGUGUGAUCUACCCAUGUCCAGGGUGAAGGUCAGGUAACACUGACUGGAGGCCCGAACCCACGCACGUUGAAAAGUGCGGGGAUGAGGUGUGGGUAGGGGUGAAAUGCCAAUCGAACACGGAGAUAGCUGGUUCUCUCCGAAAUAGCUUUAGGGCUAGCCUCAAAGGAUGAUGGUUGGAGGUAGAGCACUGAUUGGACUAGGGGCCCUCAUCGGGUUACCGAAUUCAGUCAAACUCCGAAUGCCAAUCAAUCUACUUUGGGAGUCAGACUAUGGGUGAUAAGGUUCAUGGUCGAAAGGGAAACAGCCCAGACCGCCAGCUAAGGUCCCAAAGUGUGUGUUAAGUGGAAAAGGAUGUGGCGUUGCUUAGACAACCAGGAUGUUGGCUUAGAAGCAGCCAUCAUUGAAAGAGUGCGUAAUAGCUCACUGGUCGAGUGACGCUGCGCCGAAAAUAUACCGGGGCUAAACACACCACCGAAGCUGCGGAUUGACAUCUACGAUGUCAGUGGUAGGAGAGCGUUCUAAGGGCAGUGAAGGUCGAUCGUGAGGACGGCUGGAGCGCUUAGAAGUGAGAAUGCCGGUAUGAGUAGCGAAAAAAGAGUGAGAAUCUCUUUCA